CAGAGCCAAUCAGCGUUUAGUUAAAAUACCGGGUGUACAGAAGGAAGUAAUUUUUCGAGAACGGUUUACGUUUACCGACAUGAUCAGUCUUCUUCAAAAUGAAACGUUCUAAAAUAAUCGAAGCAACUUUUGUGUAAUAGUUACUUAUAUUGUGUACUAAUUAUUUCUUCUUGUAAAAUAGUUUUAUCGUCGUAACUCGUUGAACGAUAAUUUCUUUGUUCAAAAAUACCAUAAUGGAAGCAUACCGUCAUCACAAUUUGAAAGUGACGGAUCAAUUUGAAAUUACUGCAAGAUCAUUGUUAAAAAAAAAACAGAAGUACAUGUACAUAGCGUGUUCAUAGUCGAGAACUGCAUACAAGUCUCCAUAUUGGAAGAAGAGACAGGUUAUAAUGUAAAUCCGCGUGACCGACAUCCGUCCGUAAUAAGGAGUAAGGAGUGCCUGCGCACUGUGUCUAGCAUUCCCCUUUUAUCUAGGACCACUACGUCCAUUGAACCGUUGGUAUCUUCUAACUUUUUGUCAAUGGCGGUAAAAAAGCUCAGCGGGACGUAUCCGUCCAACUUUUCACGUAGCAUGGAGAUAGAAAGUAUCUAUUAAUAAAGUCUCCAUUUCCGACUACAUACUGCGUCCGAAGUCCAAAAUACUCGUCGCAAAAUCCCUGUGUUUACGUGAAUGGCUAAAGCAUGUUUUUCGCAGCGUAAAUUUCAAAUUUUUAUUUCGAUUUGUGGCACGAUUUCACGAAAAAACGCUCAAAUAUAUACGACACGUUUUAAACCUGAAAUGUACUAGAAGAUAAAAACAAAUUUUUCAAAUAACGUAAAUAUAUACAGAAGGUGUUACACGUUAGAAAUUUCCACAUAAUCGAAGGAAUGUUAUGAUGAAAAGGGAUUCGUGUUUCGAAAUCUCUUCCAAGGUCACUCAUUGACGCCAAAUACAUACAUACCAUUUCAACAAAUCUUUAUUUUCAUUGAUGUGUUUACUGCACGG